GAUACAUGUAUACUAUGCCCAUGGACUAGAUAGCCCAACCUUUGUUCGCCGGUGUUAUUGGCUCCUAGAUAAGACCUUUGAACACAUUGUCCUUGUUCAUUACCGUGAAACACAAGAGUUUCAGAAUUUUCCAUCCACAUCGUUGAACUCAAAUUCUGGUUCUGUCUCUAACCCAU